rnacentral:rRNA from 1 species
UACGUAGGUGGCAAGCGUUGUCCGGAUUUACUGGGCGUAAAGAGCGCGCAGGCGGUCGUUCAAGUCGCGUGUGAAAGCCCCCGGCUCAACUGGGGAGGGUCACGCGAUACUGAUCGACUCGAAGGCAGGAGAGGGUAGUGGAAUUCCCGGUGUAGUGGUGAAAUGCGUAGAUAUCGGGAGGAACACCAGUGGCGAAGGCGACUACCUGGCCUGUUCUUGACGCUGAGACGCGAAAGCGCGGGGAGCGAACGGG